AAGGAAGGCAGCAGGCGCGCAAAUUACCCACUCCCGGCACGGGGAGGUAGUGACGAAAAAUAACGAUACGGGACUCAUCCGAGGCCCCGUAAUCGGAAUGAGAACAAUUUAAAUCCUUUAACGAGGAUCAAUUGGAGGGCAAGUCUGGUGCCAGCAGCCGCGGUAAUUCCAGCUCCAAUAGCGUAUAUUAAAGUUGUUGCGGUUAAAAAGCUCGUAGUCGGAUCUGUGUCCCGCGCCGCCGGUUCGCCGCUCGCGGUGUUUAACUGGCGGGUACGCGGGACGUCCUGCCGGUGGGCCUAACUCUUUCAACAGGGCGGCCCAAUUAUAAUCCCGUCGCGGUGCUCUUCACCGAGUGUCGAGGCGGGCCGGCACGUUUACUUUGAACAAAUUAGAGUGCUUAAAGCAGGCUCAAACUGCGCCUGAAUACUUCGUGCAUGGAAUAAUGGAAUAGGACCUCGGUUCUAUUUUGUUGGUUUUCGGAACCCCGAGGUAAUGAUUAAUAGGAACGGAUGGGGGCAUUCGUAUUGCGACGUUAGAGGUGAAAUUCUUGGAUCGUCGCAAGACGGACAGAAGCGAAAGCAUUUGCCAAAAACGUUUUCAUUGAUCAAGAACGAAAGUUAGAGGUUCGAAGGCGAUCAGAUACCGCCCUAGUUCUAACCAUAAACGAUGCCAGCUAGCGAUCCGCCGACGUUCCUCCGAUGACUCGGCGGGCAGCUUCCGGGAAACCAAAGCUUUUGGGUUCCGGGGGAAGUAUGGUUGCAAAGCUGAAACUUAAAGGAAUUGACGGAAGGGCACCACCAGGAGUGGAGCCUGCGGCUUAAUUUGACUCAACACGGGAAACCUCACCAGGCCCGGACACCGGAAGGAUUGACAGAUUGAGAGCUCUUUCUUGAUUCGGUGGGUGGUGGUGCAUGGCCGUUCUUAGUUGGUGGAGCGAUUUGUCUGGUUAAUUCCGAUAACGAACGAGACUCUGGCCUGCUAACUAGGCGUAUUUCCGACAUCUCGAAGGCCGCGCCGGCUUGGUGCGUUCACACGUGGCAAGCUGCGCGUAGCUUUUACUGUCGGCGUACAAGCAAAUCUUCUUAGAGGGACAGGCGGCUUCUAGCCGCACGAGAUAGAGCAAUAACAGGUCUGUGAUGCCCUUAGAUGUUCUGGGCCGCACGCGCGCUACACUGAAGGAAUCAGCGUGUCUUCCCUGUCCGAGCGGACCGGGUAACCCGCUGAACCUCCUUCGUGCUAGGGAUUGGGGCUUGCAAUUGUUCCCCAUGAACGAGGAAUUCCCAGUAAGCGCGAGUCAUAAGCUCGCGUUGAUUACGUCCCUGCCCUUUGUACACACCGCCCGUCGCUACUACCGAUUGAAUGAUUUAGUGAGGUCUUCGGACCGGCACGCGGAGGCGUUUCAACGUCGUCGAUGAUGCUGGAAAGAUGACCAAACUUGAUUAUUU
rnacentral:rRNA from 1 species